ACUUUCAUAGCUCAGAUGGUUAGAGCACCCGUUUAGUAAGCGGGAGGUCUUUUUUUUCAUUCACAUGGAUUAUUGAUUUGUGAUGUUAUGAGUAGAAGUA
rnacentral:tRNA from 1 species